UAUGACUUUAUUGUUAUUGUUUCAAAUAUACACAAUAGGAAUUUUAAUGAAUAUUAUAUUCGUUACGACAGUGAUGUAUUGUUAUUCGUUGCAAUUAUUGAUUAUACGUAUUGAACACCUUAAUGAGAAGAUUGAUGGCAUAACAUUAACCAGAAACAAGGAAAGAAAUUUUAGAAUGCUCCGGCCUAUUAUCAUGUAUCAUCAAGAUAUAUUCAGGAUGUUUCAAUUCAGUAAUGAUGUCUACACCAACUUAAUUGUGCCUCAAAAACUGUUUGCUUUAUGUAUUUUAACUCUGUCUACUACAUCUUUUUUUAUGGGAAAAGAUAUAGCAAGUUUAGCCAGCGCAAUAGCAACUUGGUUUGGA